GUUCACAAUUUUGAAGUAUUCAAUAAUAUAAUGAAUACAUAGCAAUCAUAAAAGUCUUCCAAUCCUGCUGUAUUGGGCUAUAGCCACUGUGAGUAAUGAGGGUCUGGUCUUUUGAUUAAAAUGGAGCAGGUUGAUAUUUUCACUCCAACUCUAGGUCCUAUAUCAGAUUCCCUAUGUGAACACACAUGCAGUCACACACACAGCUACUGUACUUUCAACUUUAUUUCCAACUGGUUUCCUCCAUCAGGCAUUUCCUUUAAGAAUUAUCCCCUUAGGGCCUUCAGGAUUUUAUACCAUCCGAUACUGCAGUAUUGGUGAUCCAAAUGGAGAAUGUUUGUCCUUGUAGUAGGUUGCUUUCUCCUGGGACACCAUGUAUUUAUUACCAGUUUGCUCCAGUUUUGUAUGUAUAAGUAAAGUACAUAAGUAAAUUCCAUCCCACUGCACAUUAAUCUGCAUUAAACACACACACACACACACACACACACACACACACACACACACACUCAGCAUUAGUAUUGAAGCUAAAGGCUCCAAAUCUUCAGUGAAUGAUUCUAAACAGUAAUGUAGUGGACAAUGCUUAACUUUUGCCAGAUUACCAGAGACUCAAAUUGAACCGCAUUUAAAAAGAAAAUCAAGAAAUUCAAAAUCUUAGAGGAAGAAAAGGUAACCAAGUGUUCAAAAUUGCUUUGAAGGGAUCGUUGUUCCCAUCCUUAAGUGACAAGUAUUUGAAUGGAGAAAAAAAGAUAAAAUAAAAUCAGUAAUAGUUACUAUGCAUGUUAAAUGGAUUUCUGGUAUUUUGCUGGCAAAGUUAUGAGAACAAGUAGUCUUAGAUUUAGAUGCUACUAAACACUGUAAGGUAUGUUCUUCCCUUCUUGGUUACUCUAUUAGGAUUGUCACCACUUGUGUCUCUACUACAUGAUGGCAGCAUUACAAAUUGGUUGUGGCACUAUGGUAUUUUACAAAGGUUCUUGUCUCUUUUUAUUUCAGUCUAUCUUUAAUACAUGACAGAAUAUAGUUUGGUUGUAAAUGCUGUGGUUUCAUAUCUAACAAGAGCUUUAUGUGAGAGGAAUCUGUUUCAUUAUUUGAAAAACUUCAAGCUAACAUUUCUAUUAUCCACAUAGUGUAUUUCUGCCCUAUACACGAUUUAGACAGUCUUGAAAGUGUGCAAAAAUCCUCAAAUUCUCCAAACCAUAUGAGAUACUGAGUAGAAGCUUCUCUAUAAAGAGAUUUGUGUGCCAUAACAGUACAUUCCCUGAUGGCAAAGUUUUAGCUACAUUGCAGUAAGUACCGUGUUUCCCCGAAAAUAAGACAGUGUCUUAUAUUAAUUUUUGCUCCCAAAGAUGCACUAGGUCUUAUUUUCAGGGGAUGUCUUAUUUUUCCAUGAAGAAGAAUUCAAUUUUAUUGUUGAACAAAAAAAAUGAACAUUUAUUACAGUAGUACAGUAGUUGUCAUCAUAAACCAGCAUAACCAGACAAAUUGUGAAUCCUAUCAAGUAUUUCUUGUUAUUACCAAUAUUUCCAUGUACAACACUCUAUGAUACGUACAUUUACUGAUCCUGCAUGCUCUGGUGUUCUGUUCGGCGGGCAUCCUUCCAAACAAAAACUUGGCUAGGUCUUACUUUCGGGGGAGGCCUUAUAUUUAGCAAUUCAGCAAAACCUCUACUAGGUCUUAUUUUCUGGAGAUGUCUUAUUUUAGGGGAAACAGGGUAGUAUGUAAAUACCACCCUUUAAAAAAAUCCAGAUUUAAAGUGUUCUAAUUAAAAUUUGGUUGGAAAAAGGAGGGAGGGAGGUUAGGUUAAUAUGGAAUUACCA
rnacentral:lncRNA from 1 species